rnacentral:rRNA from 1 species
CCUACGGGUAGCAGCAGUGGGGAAUAUUGCGCAAUGGGCGAAAGCCUGACGCAGCGACGCCGCGUGAGGGAUGAAGGUCUUCGGAUCGUAAACCUCUGUCAGCAGGGAAGAACGGUCACUGUGCUAAUCAGCAGUGAAUUGACGGUACCUGCAAAGGAAGCACCGGCUAACUCCGUGCCAGCAGCAGCGGUAAUACGGAGGGUGCGAGCGUUAAUCGGAAUUACUGGGCGGAAAGCGCUCGUAGGCGGUAUGUCAAGUCAAGGUGGAAAUCCCCGCGCUCAACGUGGGAACUGCCUUUGAAACUGGCAAACUGGAGUGUGUGAGAGGAUAGUGGAAUUCCAGGUGUAGGAGUGAAAUCCGUAGAUAUCUGGAGGAACAUCAGUGGCGAAGGCGACUAUCUGGCACAUAACUGACGCUGAGGAGCGAAAGCGUGGGUAGCAAACAGGAUUAGAUACCCCUGUAGUC